UACGGGGGGGGCAAGCGUUGUUCGGAAUUACUGGGCGUAAAGGGUUCGUAGGUGGCUCGCUAAGUCACACGUGAAAUCCCUCAGCUUAACUGGGGAACUGCGUGUGAGACUGGCAAGCUCGAGUGCAGGAGAGGAAUGCGGAAUUCCAGGUGUAGCGGUGAAAUGCGUAGAUAUCUGGAGGAACACCGAUGGCGAAGGCAGGUCUCUGGGCCACUACUGACGCUGAGGCGCGAAAGCUAGGGGAGCAAACAGG
rnacentral:rRNA from 1 species